UUUAUUGAGAAUUUGAUCCUGGUUCAGAUUGAAUGCUGACGGCGUGGAUGAGGCAUGCAAGUCGAACGAAGUAGUAACUUGUUACUACUUAGUGGCGAAAGGGUUAGUAAUACAUGAGUAACUUACCUCUUACCUGGGGAUAACGGUUGGAAACGACCGCUAAUACCGAAUGAGGAGAGCUGGGGUAGCCUGGUUUCUUCAAAGUUGGGGAUUCUGCAAAGAACCUUGCGGUAGGAGAGAGGCUCAUGGGAUAUCAGCUUGUUGGUGUGGUAAAGGCGCACCAAGGCUAAGACGUCUAGGCGGGCUGAGAGGUUGACCGCCAACACUGGGACUGAGACACUGCCCAGACUCCUACGGGAGGCUGCAGUCGAGAAUCAUUCGCAAUGGGCGAAAGCCUGACGAUGCGACGCCGUGUGAACGAUGAAGGCCUUCGGGUUGUAAAGUUCUUUCGCUAAGGAACAAGAAAAGGUAACGAAUAAUUGCCUAAUUUGAGGGUACUUGGUAAAGAAGCACCGGCUAACUCCGUGCCAGCAGCUGCGGUAAUACGGAGGGUGCAAGCAU
rnacentral:rRNA from 1 species